AUACAGAACUCUCAGAUGCCUGUCCAGCACCAUAUCUGCCUGCAUGAAGCCAUGAUGAUAAUGAGCUAAACCUCUGAAACCGUAAGCAAGCCACACGGACAAAACGAACCUUCCUGCGACUUCAUGGAGUCCGUUUGGCUGAGAUCUGCGAGGGCCUGGAGACCAGCAUGUGCUUUGAUGUGCCACCACCAGUCGCCACACAUUCCUUUUGCCAGAGGUGCUAUAGCUUACACGUGGAGAUGGGAGGCCAUCUUGCAGAAUCCACUGUGUAGGUUCUGGGGAUACAACUCAGGUCAUCAGGCUUCGUGGCAAGUGCCCCGUUGUCUUUUAAGCC